rnacentral:rRNA from 1 species
AUGAGCGUAUUCGAGCAGGUGGUGAUGGGGUUUGAUGCCGACAAUACCAUGUUGCUCAUAAAGUGUGGCAAAGAAGACAUGCUCGAGAGCAUGAUGUUACUGCUCGUGGGCGUUUCACUAGUACUCAUGAAGUGCAACAAAGAAGACAAGCUCGAGGGCUUGAUGUUGCUGCUCAUGGGCGUGUCACUACUCCUCAAGAAGUGCAGCAAGGAGGACAUGCUCAAGGGCAUGGUGUUUCUUCUCGUGGGCGUGAUAGUACUGCACCUGAAGUGCAACAAGGAUGUCAUGCUCGAGGGAGAAGUUGUGUAA